rnacentral:misc_RNA from 1 species
AACGCACAUUGCGCCCAUUAGUAUUCUAGUGGGCAUGCCUGUUCGAGCGUCAUUUCAACCCUUAAGCUUCUGUUGCUUAGUGUUGGGAGCCUACAGCUUCUUUUAGGUUGUAGUUCCUUAAAGUUAGUGGCAGAGUUGGUUCACACUCUAGGUGUAGUAAAUAUUUUAUCUCGCCUAUAGAUGAGCCGGUCCCUUGCCGUAAAAAAAACCCUUAAUUAUAAAGAGUUGACCUCGGAUCAGGUAGGAAUACCCGCUGAACUUAA